rnacentral:rRNA from 1 species
CCUACGGGUGGCAGCAGUGGGGAAUAUUGCACAAUGGGGGAAACCCUGAUGCAGCGACGCCGCGUGAGGGAAGAAGUAAUUCGUUACGUAAAGCUCUAUCAGCAGGGAAGAAAAUGUCGGUACCUGAGUUAGAAUCCCCGGCUAACUACGUGCCAGCAGCCGCGGUAAUACGGAGGGGGCCAGCGUUAUCCGGAUUUACUGGGUGUAAUGGGAGCGUAGACGGUGUGACAAGUCAGAAGUGAAAUGCCGCAGCUUAACUGGGGAACUGCUUUUGAUACUGGCGAACUAGAGAGUGGGUGCGGUAAGCGGAAUGCAUGGUGUAGCGGUGAAAUGCGUAGAGAUCAGGCAGAACACCGGUUGCGAAGGCGGCUUAC